UAAGAAAUCAUGACCUUUUUAUUUUGGAGGGGGUACAGGGACUUACUGUAUUAUUUUAUCUCAGCAUAAGCAAAUUCAACUUGCUUUAAUUCUCACUUUGAAGGAGAGAAUGUCAGGCUGCCUCCUGCUCUGUUUCACAGUGUGUAGCGUUGGUAAUGAGCUCUGACAGCACUCCUCCUGCUGCUAACUGUGUCACAUGAGCCGACGGAAGGUGACUUGAGACGUGAAGAAAUGAAGGUGAAAUGUCCAGCUGUUAAGUGAAUUGGUAUGGUAUGGUGGCUAGUUCCAAAUGAAAUGGCUAAGCUUCACCCCUUUGAACACUCAACUUCUCAGGAACACCUCCGUAACCAAAUGUGUGUGGUGUUUUUCCUAUACACCAAGAAGGCAAUCAGUUCUCAGCAGAUUCUCCAGUGGACACAAGGUGAGUGUCUAAUUCAGUUUAAUUGU